UGGCUCAGGAUGAACGCUAGCGACAGGCUAACACAUGCAAGUCGAGGGGCAUCACGGGAGUAGCAAUACAACUGAUGGCGACCGGCGCGACGGGUGAGUAACGCGUAUGCAACCUACCUAUCAGAGGGGAAUAACCCGGCGAAAGUCGGACUAAUACCGCAUAAAACAGGGGCACCGCAUGGUGAUAUUUGUUAAAGAAAUUCGCUGAUAGAUGGGCAUGCGUUCCAUUAGGUAGUUGGUGAGGUAACGGCUCACCAAGCCGACGAUGGAUAGGGGAACUGAGAGGUUGGUCCCCCACACUGGUACUGAGACACGGACCAGACUCCUACGGGAGGCAGCAGUGAGGAAUAUUGGUCAAUGGGCGGGAGCCUGAACCAGCCAAGUCCGCGUGAAGGAAGAAGGAUCUAUGGUUCGUAAACUUCUUUUGCAGGGGAAUAAAGUGCAGGACGUGUCCUGUUUUGUAUGUACCCUGAGAAUAAGGAUCGGCUAACUCCGUGCCAGCCGCCGC
rnacentral:rRNA from 1 species